rfam:Halomonas sp. &apos;Soap Lake #7&apos;, complete genome.
GAAGGAGGGCCCUUCGAAGUCGACUUUCAGGAGUAGGCUUUAAACCACCCCAAGCUGCGUUGGUAAAGAGCCAGGGUAGUGAGCGUUGGGGUCAAAAGCCGCGGGAGAUGAUCUCGGGCAGGU